rnacentral:rRNA from 1 species
GCUGCGAGCGAACAGGGAAGAGCCCAGCACCGAAUCCCGCGGCCGAUACCGGACGCCGGGAAAUGUGGUGUUAGGGAGGGUCCAUUAUCCCGAGGUUAUGCGGUGCGUCCAAGUCCUUCUUGAACGGGGCCACAGCCCAUAGAGGGUGCUAGGCCCGUAGUGACCGCUGCUAAUCGCGGGAGGAUCUCUCCUCAGAGUCGGGUUGCUUGAGAGUGCAGCCCUAAGUGGGUGGUAAACUCCAUCUAAGGCUAAAUAUGACCACGAGACCGAUAGCGAACAAGUACCGUGAGGGAAAGUUGAAAAGCACUUUGAAGAGAGAGUUAAAGAGUACGUGAAACCGUUUAGGGGUAAACCUGAGAAAUCCGAAAGGUCGAAGGGAGAAAUUCAUUCGCGUCUCGCUAUUGGCGUUAAGCGGUCGUGUGACGGAGAACGUUCGCGUUCACCGCACCUUCCGUUUUUCGAUCCGAUGGCGAACGCGUGCACUUUUCUCCUGGUAGGACGUCGCGAUCCGUUGGGUGUCGGUCUACGGCUCUCGGUGGAGCCCGUGCGUACGGCUUGCCGUCACGCGCGGACCCGAGUGUCCCGGCUGACUCGCUCGACGGUAUACGAAAGGUUUAAGGCCGCUCUUUUUUGAGCGUUCGGCUCGUUGCAAGCGCGCCGGAUGUGUUGGCGAUCGGACCUAGCGCCGGUUCUGACCUCCGGUGACUGUUGGCGACGAAGUUCUCGAACAGACCUCUAACCGAUCUGCGAC